rnacentral:rRNA from 1 species
GAUGAACGCUGGCGGCGUGCCUAAUACAUGCAAGUCGAGCGAACGGACGAGAAGCUUGCUUUUCUGAUGUUAGCGGCGGACGGGUGAGUAACACGUGGAUAACCUACCUAUAAGACUGGGAUAACUUCGGGAAACCGGAGCUAAUACCGGAUAAUAUUUUGAACCGCAUGGUUCAAAAGUGAAAGACGGUCUUGCUGUCACUUAUAGAUGGAUCCGCGCUGCAUUAGCUAGUUGGUAAGGUAACGGCUUACCAAGGCAACGAUGCAUAGCCGACCUGAGAGGGUGAUCGGCCACACUGGAACUGAGACACGGUCCAGACUCCUACGGGAGUCAGCAGUAGGGAAUCUUCCGCAAUGGGCGAAAGCCUGACGGAGCAACGCCGCGUGAGUUAUGAAGGUCUUCGGAUCGUAAAACUCUGUUAUUAGGGAAGAACAUAUGUGUAAGUAACUGUGCACAUCUUGACGGUACCUAAUCAGAAAGCCACGGCUAACUACGUG